rnacentral:tmRNA from 1 species
GGGGAUGUAAAGGUUUCGACGGGGGUAGUUGGUGCAUAGGUAGCGAGCCGGGGGGUCACCAUCCCGUCAGUAAGGUGAAACUUUUAUUAAAUAUAAAAGCUAACGAAGACUACGCUUUGGCGGCUUAACGCCAACCUCUUCCCAUUCGCUCCCGCACGGGCGGGAAAGAGGCAAGCUGCGGGAUACCGGGGGACGGCCUCCCUUAAAUCUUCCGGGAAAUUUUUAGGGAUCGGAGCUUUUGAGCCCGCUCAUGGGCGCCUGAGUUCUUAAAGCAAAUCGUGAGCUUCGCUCGGAGAAACCUGUGAAACAAUGCUUUCGGACAGGAGUUCGAUUCUCCUCAUCUCCACCA